rnacentral:rRNA from 1 species
AUUGAACGCUGGCGGCAGGCCUAACACAUGCAAGUCGAACGAGUGGCGGACGGGUGAGUAAUGUCUGGGAAACUGCCUGAUGGAGGGGGAUAACUACUGGAAACGGUAGCUAAUACCGCAUACCAUCGGAUGUGCCCAGAUGGGAUUGGCGAGUAGGGGGGGUAAAGGCUCACCUAGGCGACGAUCCCUAGCUGGUCUGAGAGGAUGACCAGCCACACUGGAACUGGGACACGCUCCAGACUCCUCCGGGAGGAAGCAGGGGGGAAUAUUGCACAUUGGGCGCAAGCCUGAGGCAGCCCUGCCGCGGGGAUGAAGAAGGCUUUCGGGUGGUAAAGUACUUUCAGCGGGGAGGCGUUACCCGCAGAAGAAGCACCGGCUAACUCCGUGCCAGCAGCCGCGGUAAUUC